UAAAGCUUAUGUGUUCACACAUGCC
rnacentral:piRNA from 1 species